CCUACGGGUGGCAGCAGUGAGGAAUAUUGGUCAAUGGACGAGAGUCUGAACCAGCCAAGUAGCGUGAAGGAUGACUGCCCUAUGGGUUGUAAACUUCUUUUAUAAAGGAAUAAAGUGAGGCACGUGUGCCUUUUUGUAUGUACUUUAUGAAUAAGGAUCGGCUAACUCCGUGCCAGCCGCCGCGGUAAUACGGAGGAUCCGAGCGUUAUCCUGAUUUAUUGGGUUUAAAGGGAGCGGAGAUGGGUUGUUAAGUUAGUUGUGAAAGUUUGCGGCUCAACAGUAAAAUUGCAAUGGAUACUGGCAGUCGUGAGUACAGUUGAGGUAGGCGGAAUUCGUGGUGUAGCGGUGAAAUGCAUAGAUAUCACGCAGAACUCCGAUUGCGAAGGCAGCAUACCGGCGCCCGACUGACGCUGAGGCACGAAAGCGUGGGGAUCGAACAGGAUUAGAUACCCUGGUAGUC
rnacentral:rRNA from 1 species